UGGUCCAUAGCAUAGUGGUAGAGCAUGUGAUUUCAAAGCAGAAGGUCCAAGGUUCAAUCUCUAGUACAGGGGUAG